rnacentral:sRNA from 1 species
UUAAUUAAAAAAUAAGCCGAAGACAGUAGGCGGGCAAUAGCCCUUAAUCUCCUACCGAGGAAAAAUAGGAUAAAAACGAAUCCUUUUCUACUCGGUGGAAAAGGAUUUUCAUUUUA